rnacentral:rRNA from 1 species
GUGGGGAAUAUUGGACAAUGGGCGCAAGCCUGAUCCAGCCAUGCCGCGUGAGUGAUGAAGGCCUUAGGGUUGUAAAGCUCUUUCAGUAGGGAAGAUAAUGACGGUACCUACAGAAGAAGCCCCGGCUAACUUCGUGCCAGCAGCCGCGGUAAUACGAAGGGGGCUAGCGUUGUUCGGAUUUACUGGGCGUACAGCGCACGUAGGCGGAUUGGUCAGUUAGAGGUGAAAUCCCGAAGCUCAACUUCGGAACUGCCUUUAAUACUGCCAGUCUCGAGUCCGGAAGAGGUGAGUGGAACUCCUAGUGUAGAGGUGGAAUUCGUAGAUAUUAGGAAGAACACCAGUGGCGAAGGCGGCUCACUGGUCCGGUACUGACGCUGAGGUGCGAAAGCGUGGGGAGCAAACAGGAUUAGAUACCCGUGUAGUCC